ensembl:miRNA
GGUUACUGUAGGGCCUGCGGCUUCCGCCCGUGCUCGCGGACCACCGCCACCGCCUUACCAUGAAGCC